rnacentral:rRNA from 1 species
UACGUAGGGUGCAAGCGUUGUCCGGAAUUAUUGGGCGUAAAGAGCUCGUAGGCGGUCUGUCGCGUCUGGUGUGAAAAUCCAGGGCUUAACCCUGGACCUGCAUCGGGUACGGGCAGACUAGAGUGCGGUAGGGGAGAUCGGAAUUCCUGGUGUAGCGGUGAAAUGCGCAGAUAUCAGGAGGAACACCGGUGGCGAAGGCGGCGAUCUGGCCCAACAUUGACACUGAGACUCGAAAGUGCGGGGAUCAAACAGG